rnacentral:tRNA from 1 species
GGAGGGGUCGCAUAGUGGACGAGUGCGCACGCUUGGAAAGCGUGUAUCCACAAUUAGUGGAUCGUGGGUUCGAAUCCCACCCCCUCCG